CCGCAGUUAAGCACGCUCGGGCUAGAGUAGUACCGGGAUGGGUGACCUCCCGGGAAGUCCUAGUGUUGCACCGU
rnacentral:rRNA from 1 species